AGCAUGGUGGCAAUGUUGUGCUUAAUACUGAUUGUAAUACAUUUGGUAAAGUUGCACUUGCGAGUGAAAUCUAAGUCAUGAGAGCGAGAUAAUGGCUGCUUUUUCCAGUCCUUGUACCAGACCAUUUUCAGAGAGACAUUUCCUUUGUUUAUUAAUCCACUGACACAUUGACAGCUCUGCCAUAUGGAUCAUUCAAGUGUAAAAAAGGCACAUGACUCAAGGGAUUAAACACUGUUGUUGCAAAGUUUUGUGUAAUCCACAAAUGACAUACAACUGUGUGAAGAACCAAAUUUUAUAUUGUAUCUUUAUGGACUUUAUAACUAGCAGCCUGUGACAAACACACAUAAUUUUUUCCCAUGUCUUUACCUGAAUCCAUUCUAAAUGCCAAAGAACAGUUUGACAGGCAAGGUUUUUUUUGCACCAACAAGGUAAUUCCCAAAGGGCUUUUAACAGAAAACUUGGCAUAUUUCGGCAUGGUGUGCUGUGUUCAUAAAGAAAUUUGAAGAAACUAGAGGAAAAGUGGAGGAAAAACUAUCUUAAAAAAAACUAUCAUUAGGCUGUAGAUAGUUUAGGCUUAAAACUUUCCUUUUUGAAAAAGCAUAUACUUAGGGCUGGAAUAGGCGACCCUGAUUCCUACCUACAUUAUGCUGCAAUCGGUCUAGGCUGCUGGGCGAUUCCCAUGAUGCGCUGGGUGUUCCUUCUUCAGUCAUCUUUUUCACUCACUAUGUGUUAAUAGACCUCCCUGGAUUUAAUCAUUAGUUAUAAUUAUUUUCUGGCUUUCUUCCACAGCGUGCCUUUCUGUGUUGAAGUAUAAAUGUCAUCGUACUAAAUAUUGACUUUCAACUAUGUUAGAGUACACAGAUUUUGUUUUUACAUUUCCAUGUAUGUUUGUACGUUUCAAUACAUUGCUGCACUCAUUUCCCAUUUUACUAGCAUAAUAUAAAGAAAUAAGGGGUGAUUUAAGACUCUUGCACAUUACUGUUAUUAUUGCUAUAUAUGCACACAACAGUACACCUCCAUAUAGAUUAUACUAUAUUUAAAAUUUCAUGAUAAGUAUGAUUUAUAGAAGUUAUAGAACAGGAAAGAUCUAUUUCAGUUGUAACCUGCUUCAUCUGCCCAUGUUGUCUUUGUUUGCUUAUUUUUUUACUGAGCAGAACAGUCCUCUACAGUGACUACCAUUAUCAUUGUUGUUGCAGUUAUUGUUCUUCUUGUUCUCAUCAUCAUUGGUGCCAUUGGAUUUACUGUUUACAAAAAGAAGAAAGAACAACCUCCUACAUCUCCACCCGAAACCGACUGUGAACUCUCAGAGAGACUAAAUUCAGAGACCAUACAGGACCCUGCACACUGUGCCACUUCCAGCUAAGCAAGAGCAGAGGCAUUGAUUUUCACACUUAAUUUAAACUGUAAAAAAAGAAAAGAAAGAAAGAAAGAAAUGUAAAAAUCCCAUUACUACUGUAGGGAAAAUGUUGAAAGGAGAACUGGUAAAAUCACACUAGCUCUUUGAAAUAUGUUCCAUUACAAUAA